ACUGGUUUCGACGGGGGUUUGGAGUCUUUAGUAGCGAGCCAUGUUUCGCUUGGUGACAUGUAAAAAACUGGGCAUUAAAGAUAAACGCAGAUAAUAAUUACGCUUUAGCGGCUUAGUUCUGCUCGUCUCUCCUAGGCCUCCUGCCGCUUAGAUAGAGGCGUCAAAUAUGCAGGGAACGUCUUAAGGGGUGUCUCGACCUUAAGUUGUACAAUUGGGGCUGGCUGAAGCUAAAACCUGUUGUUGGGUGUUAGACAAGGCGAGAAACUAAAACAGCAACUGCGCUCGGAGAAGCUGAAGGUAAAGGGCCUUCGGACAGGGGUUCGAUUCA
rnacentral:tmRNA from 1 species